AUGGAUUUAUACUACAUUAGAUAUUAAAUGUGUCUCCACUCCAUGGUGCUUGGGAAGAUGGAUUGAUGUUUAAUAACACUAGAUGUUUUCAUACACAGAACACACAUGGUCUGCAACAAUCCCAUUCAUUCUAAUACCAAUAUCCCAACACCUUCCUCUGGCUUCUGUAGGUAGCAGUCAAAUAUCUAUUACAUAGAAAUUCAUUCAUACUUUUAAAAUGUUCCCAUGAUUUUAUACAGUAAAAUGAUUCGCAGAAAAUAUUUUUUGUAGUACUCUACCUGUAUAUUAUACGUCUUUUGAAUUCUGGUUAUACUAUGAGUUGGUCUACAAAACAUUUGCCCUGUUUUCUUCAUAGUUAGUUUUGUAACUAACAUUAGUUUUCAGAUGGUCUAAAAUAAAAUUAUCCUUUUUCUUCGUUUAGACUUCUACUGAAGAUUCCUCAGGCAAACUUUAUCCUUCUAAAGCAUCUCAUUUGGUAUUAGUAAUAAUAAGAGACUCAUCCACGAGUAAUUUAGACACUAACAGGUUAUCUAUCCGGAUAGCUCCUUAUGUUUUGUGGGAUCAGACUACAAAGGAUGCAUGGUUUGGGAGUGAUGUAUCAAGAAAGAUGUCCAUUAUACAAAUCAUGAUCGACAACUAUCAUCAAAUAUUUGGAAAUUAUAAUAUAUUUUAUAAACAUAUUGACAGAAGAUCUGAGGAUUUAAAGACUUGUGCAGAUUCAAUAAACUCUUCUGGCAAAUCACCUAUUAUGAAAGAAUUCCUAGCUGGCCACAACAAGAAGACAUGCGAUAAUGGGAGCAGGGACCCACUUCUGUAAUGUGGGUACACGAGGCUUCAUCUGAAUGCCAUGUUCCUAACUGGAUCUGUGUGGCUCUGUUCACUUAUCUGUGAUCCCUUCCAACUCUACAGUGCUGUUUUCCCAUUAAGGGUCAACUGCAGCUGAAUUUAAAUUUCAGGUUGGCUCAGAUCAUCCUCUCUAGCUGUGUGUUCUUCCUAACCCGCCAUCUAUUCCACAGCGACAGCCCCUCUCUGUAGGGGAGCUGUGCCCAUCAAAGGCUGAAGACUCUCGGGAGAAGCCGGUAUGUGAGGCUGGGUUGGAUGUGUGUUAUCUCUUUCCAGUCGAGCAUGGUAUAAUUGCAGUUUUCUGAGGGUCAUCACUGCCUGAAGUGGCCUAAAGAUGUCUUUUGUAAUUUAUUUCCUUGUUUAGCAUCAAGAGGACCUGAUGCCCCCAGAAGCCUGGAUUGCUGGAUAUGCAUGUUUCUGUGAUGUACACAUAUACUCACACAUUUAUAAAACUACUGGUAUAUGUUGUGCCCUUGGUUUUAUUCUCUGUGUAUUUGAACUUUAUAAUAAAAAUACUUUUCACUGUGUA
rnacentral:sRNA from 1 species